CAAUACCUUGGUCCAGCGUUGGCCAAAUCAUUAAAUAAUACAGCCAAUCUUUAACAAACGUUGGUCAAACUUAGUAAUACACACUUUCAACAAGUUAAAAUUCAAUUUGUAAACUCUUCAAAAUAAAGGUAUAUUUGUACAGCAUCAUAGGAAAACAAAACCGUUCACCUCAGAGAAAAUGAAAAAAAAAAGAUAAAAGCGCGAAC
rnacentral:lncRNA from 1 species